AUCGAGAGAGGGGCUUCGCGCUCCCGGGGGUUUCGGCCCCCAACUCUUCACCCAUUGUCAACUUACCCUUGUUGCUUUGGCGGAUUCCGGGGUAUGUCUUGCGUAGGUUUGUCAUAAACCCGUGCGAGAUGUGCCCCGGCCCCGCCGGAGGCCCAUUAAAAUCUGUUUAUCAGUGAUGUCCGAGUAAAAAACCAAUAAUAAAAACUUUCAACAACGGAUCUCUUGGUUCCAGCAUCGAUGAAGAACGCAGCGAAAUGCGAUAAGUAAUGUGAAUUGCAGAAUUCAGUGAAUCAUCGAAUCUUUGAACGCACAUUGCGCCCCCUGGUAUUCCGGGGGGCAUGCCUGUUCGAGCGUCAUUACACCCCUCAAGCAUAGCUUGGUAUUGGGCUCUCGCCCCCGCGGCGUGCCCGAAAAGCAGUGGCGGUCCGGUGUGACUUUAAGCGUAGUAAAUUUCUCCCGCUUUGAAAGUUCGCCCCGUGGCCUGCCAGACAACCCCAUAUUCUUCAAUAA
rnacentral:rRNA from 1 species